UACGUAGGGUGCGAGCGUUGUCCGGAAUUAUUGGGCGUAAAGAGCUCGUAGGCGGUCUGUCGCGUCGGUCGUGAAAACUUGGGGCUUAACCCUGAGCUUGCGGUCGAUACGGGCAUGACUGGAGUUCGGCAGGGGAGACUGGAAUUCCUGGUGUAGCGGUGAAAUGCGCAGAUAUCAGGAGGAACACCAAUGGCGAAGGCAGCUCGCUGGAACGGUACUGACGCUGAGGCGCGAAAGCGUGGGGAGCAAACAGG
rnacentral:rRNA from 1 species